GUAGGUGGCAAGCGUUGUCCGGAAUUAUUGGGCGUAAAGCGCGCGCAGGCGGUUCUUUAAGUCUGAUGUGAAAGCCCACGGCUCAACCGUGGAGGGUCAUUGGAAACUGGAGAACUUGAGUACAGAAAGAGGAAAGCGGAAUUCCACGUGUAGCGGUGAAAUGCGUAGAGAUGUGGAGGAACACCAGUGGCGAAGGCGGCUUUCUGGUCUGUAACUGACGCUGAGGCGCGAAAGCGUGGGGGAGCAAACAGGAUUAGAUACCUGGUAGUCCACGCCGUAAACGAUGAGUGCUAAGUGUUAGGGGGUUUCCGCCCCUUAGUGCUGCAGCUAACGCAUUAAGCACUCCGCCUGGGAGUACGCGCAGGCUG
rnacentral:rRNA from 1 species